AGUAGUUUGAUCAGUGGCUCGAGGACACGCUGGCGGCGUGCUUUAACACAUGCAAGUCGAACGGUAAGGCCCUUCGGGGUACACGAGUGGCGAACGGGUGAGUAACACGUGGGUGAUCUGCCCUGCACUUUGGGAUAAGCCUGGGAAACUGGGUCUAAUACCGAAUAGGACUCCGGACUGCAUGGUCUGGGGUGGAAAGCUUUUGCGGUGUGGGAUGGGCCCGCGGCCUAUCAGCUUGUUGGUGGGGUGAUGGCCUACCAAGGCGACGACGGGUAGCCGGCCUGAGAGGGUGACCGGCCACACUGGGACUGAGAUACGGCCCAGACUCCUACGGGAGGCAGCAGUGGGGAAUAUUGCACAAUGGGCGCAAGCCUGAUGCAGCGACGCCGCGUGAGGGAUGACGGCCUUCGGGUUGUAAACCUCUUUCAGCACAGACGAAGCGCAAGUGACGGUAUGUGCAGAAGAAGGACCGGCCAACUACGUG
rnacentral:rRNA from 1 species